rnacentral:rRNA from 1 species
UACAGAGGUCUCAAGCGUUGUUCGGAAUUACUGGGCGUAAAGGGUGCGCAGGCCGCGCGGGCAGUCAAAUGUGUAAUUCAGGGGCUCAACCCCUGCACUGCGCUUGAUACUUCCGCGCUCGAGCUUUGGAGAGGAGUCUGGAAUUCUCGGUGUAGCAGUGAAAUGCGUAGAUAUCGUGAGGAAGACCAGUGGCGAAGGCGGGUCUCUGGACAGUUCCUGACACUGAGGCACGAAGGCCAGGGGAGCAAACGGG